UUCAUUAUUGCCAAUCUGGAGGUAUUAAAUAACAUGCUAUUGUGAUCUCCAUAUUCUUUUCUUUACAGGAAUCUUCAAGGACCAGCAUAAUGGCCAACUUCACUUGGGAACACAUCCCUAUGACUCUUAAAAUUAAUGAGGCCAAUGUGACUUUGCAUUGAAGACCUGAUGUAAUUGGAGUCUUAGAGAAAGGAUGAAGAGAGACACUGUGGAAGAAGAAGUAACUGAAGAAAUGAAGAGAUUCACAACACAGGAAAUGAAUCAGGG
rnacentral:lncRNA from 1 species